GGCGUGCUACCAUGCAGUCGACGAUGAUGCCCAGCUUGCUGGGUGGAUUAGUGGCGAACGGGUGAGUAACACGUGAGUAACCUGCCCCUGACUCUGGGAUAAGCGUUGGAAACGACGUCUAAUACUGGAUAUGAUCACUGGCCGCAUGGUCUGGUGGUGGAAAGAUUUUUUGGUUGGGGAUGGACUCGCGGCCUAUCAGCUUGUUGGUGAGGUAAUGGCUCACCAAGGCGACGACGGGUAGCCGGCCUGAGAGGGUGACCGGCCACACUGGGACUGAGACACGGCCCAGACUCCUACGGGAGGCAGCAGUGGGGAAUAUUGCACAAUGGGCGAAAGCCUGAUGCAGCAACGCCGCGUGAGGGAUGACGGCCUUCGGGUUGUAAACCUCUUUUAGUAGGGAAGAAGCGAAAGUGACGGUACCUGCAGAAAAAGCACCGGCUAACUACGUGCCAGCAGCCGCGGUAAUACGUAGGGUGCAAGCGUUGUCCGGAAUUAUUGGGCGUAAAGAGCUCGUAGGCGGUUUGUCGCGUCUGCUGUGAAAUCCCGAGGCUCAACCUCGGGCUUGCAGUGGGUACGGGCAGACUAGAGUGCGGUAGGGGAGAUUGGAAUUCCUGGUGUAGCGGUGGAAUGCGCAGAUAUCAGGAGGAACACCGAUGGCGAAGGCAGAUCUCUGGGCCGUAACUGACGCUGAGGAGCGAAAGCAUGGGGGAGCGAACAGGAUUAGAUACCCUGGUAGUCCAUGCCGUAAACGUUGGGCGCUAGAUGUAGGGACCUUUCCACGGUUUCUGUGUCGUAGCUAACGCAUUAAGCGCCCCGCCUGGGGAGUACGGCCGCAAGGCUAAAACUCAAAGGAAUUGACGGGGGCCCGCACAAGCGGCGGAGCAUGCGGAUUAAUUCGAUGCAACGCGAAGAACCUUACCAAGGCUUGACAUACACCGGAAACGGCCAGAGAUGGUCGCCCCCUUGUGGUCGGUGUACAGGUGGUGCAUGGUUGUCGUCAGCUCGUGUCGUGAGAUGUUGGGUUAAGUCCCGCAACGAGCGCAACCCUCGUUCUAUGUUGCCAGCGGGUUAUGCCGGGGACUCAUAGGAGACUGCCGGGGUCAACUCGGAGGAAGGUGGGGAUGACGUCAAAUCAUCAUGCCCCUUAUGUCUUGGGCUUCACGCAUGCUACAAUGGCCGGUACAAAGGGCUGCGAUACCGUAAGGUGGAGCGAAUCCCAAAAAGCCGGUCUCAGUUCGGAUUGAGGUCUGCAACUCGACCUCAUGAAGUCGGAGUCGCUAGUAAUCGCAGAUCAGCAACGCUGCGGUGAAUACGUUCCCGGGCCUUGUACACACCGCCCGUCAAGUCAUGAAAGUCGGUAACACCCGAAGCCGGUGGCCUAACCCUUGUGGAAGGAGCCGUCGAAGG
rnacentral:rRNA from 1 species